rnacentral:rRNA from 1 species
AAUAGUUUUUUAAAUGGAAACUGGGAUGAAGGAAGUGACGAAAUUUAUACUAUCUUGAAUUAAGUGAUUGAAUUUAUUGGUUAAGUAAAAAUACUUAAAUGAAAACAUGGGACGAGAAGACCCUAUAGAAUUUUAUAUAAAUUUAAUAAAAAUUUUAAAAUUAUAUGUAUUUAUUAAGUUUAUAUUUUAUUGGGAGGAUAGUUAAAUUUGUAAAACUUUAAAAAAUAAUAAAUCAUUAAUUUGUGAAUUAAAGAAUAUCGAAUGAUUAAGAAAAUUUAAAUAGAAUUAAUUACCUUAGGGAUAACAGCGUUAUAUUUUUAGAGAGAUCUAAUUGAUAAAGAUGUUUGC